CAGCUCUUCAAGUGGUCGGGAAUAUUAUUGGGCUUAAGGUGUCCGUAGCCGGUUUGAACAGUUCCUGGUUAAAUCUGGUAGCUUAACUAUCAGUCAGCUAGGAAUACUAUCUUACUAGAGGGUGGGAAAGGCUUGGGGUACUCCGGGGGUAGCGGUGAAAUGCGAUAAUCCUCGGGGGACCACCAGUGGCGAAGGCGCCAAGCUGGAACACGCCUGACGGUGAGGGACGAAAGCCAGGGGAGCGAACGGGAUUAGAGACCCGAGUAGUCC
rnacentral:rRNA from 1 species